ensembl:lncRNA SNHG17 small nucleolar RNA host gene 17
GUAUUUCCGCCGGCGCGAAACGAGCGUAGCUUCCUUGUCGUGUGGCCUCAGUCCUUCGCCGUCCCUCGCCGUCCUUCGCCAUCGCACGCCACCGCACCCCAUCUCUCGAAAUCUGCAGACAUCUUGAUUUUUCCCACGCUGUCUGUCAGGUCUCCGCCGCCACUCGACGCCAGGGCGCCGGGUGAGUCCACAGCAGGGCGCAUGGUCGGCUCCACUCUCACCAUCGGGGGAAACUGAGGCCCCGGGGAAGGCGGCCAGAGAGGUCAGGCCCUGUCCUUGGUGCAGUGUCUCGUCCUCUUUGCCGGAGUGAGCCCCCCAGGAUUCGCGUGUCCUCGGGAAAGACACUGGCAGGCCUUGUGGGCUGUGCUGCACCUCGGACGGCUUCGCACCAGCCAGCGCCCUCUCUCUCCUGCAGCACUCUGAUCUGCACCCCCUGAGGGGCUUCCACUGUCCGCGGGGUGAGAAUGCCCCUGGGAGUGUCACAUGACUGCCGCCCCAUGUGUGUGAGAGGCGUCCUCUGGGAGAGCAUGGAUCCUGAGGUCCCAGGAUUGUCAGCUGACCUCUGUCCUGUGUGCCCAGUGGCCCCAGGUGACGUGUCUUCAAGAAGAGGCUGAGCUGCGGUGCUUGUAAGGCAGGGUCUCAUUCUGUCACCCAGGCUGGAGUGCAGUGGUGCAAUGAUGGCUCACUGCAGCCUCGACCUGGGCUCAAGUGAUCCUCCACCUCAGCUUCCUGAGUAGCUGGGACCACAGAGUCAUGUGCUGUUCCUGGGGCUUGGAUGAUGUAGGGGAAGCAAGGUGAAAGUGGUAUCCCGUGGUUCCACGUUCUGUCCUGCUGUGGGGCUGUCCCUCACAUGCUUUCAGUGGCUGUUGCAGAGGAAGAGCCUCCGGAAAUCUGCGUGGGUAAAGUGAGCUCCCCGGGGGAACCGUCCUCCUCCCUUGAGCGCUGGUGUGUCCAUAGUGUGCUGUGAUCUGGAUUAGCAGUGAGUUUUUCUUUCAGGGUGUGUGUGUAUGAUGUUAGGACCAUAUGCUCCUGACCUUUUCCAACCCAAAAGCGUUUCCAUUUUUUUAAUGCUGGAAGUGUCUUAACUCCUUUUGGGGUCUUAGAAGGACACACGGUGGCCGUGGCUGGGCCUCUGCUCAGCUGGGCUGCUCUCCCUGCCUCAGGCCCUUGACACCAGCCUCCCUCCCUUGCUGGCUCUCUUUCUGUCCUUCCCUGCUCUUGUAUCCAAAAGUGAUCAUGGGUUGCCUGUGUCCCGAUCAUUAACAGUGCAGGGGUAGGAGUGCUGAAAGACAUCUUCCCUGCGUUGGUCCAGCCUUCCCUUUCAAACCCUGGAGCUUUCCCACGCUGCAGCCUUUUUCCAACUAGGCUUUCAGAGCUUGGGCCUUUGUGGGCCCAUGUGAUGUGGUGACUAGACCCACCCCCUGACUUCUGAGGGUUCAUUUUGUCUUUUCAUGUUAGGGAUCCUCCUGCCAGAAACCAGUCUGCAUUUCUCUCUGGGCCCCACGCUGGAAUGAAUUCAGAUAGCAGUGAAGGGCACACGUGAGAACUGCGAAUCACGGGCUUUGCUUCAUGAAAUGUGAAAUCCACAUUGUUUCCACAGGCACCAUCAGUAAUGUCGAACAAAUGGAGAAAGUUGCAGGUGGGGCUAGGAAAGCUGUAUUCCUGUGGAUUACUCUAGCUGGUCAUUUGCCCCGAUUGUGAACUGCUUGAAAGAAAAACGAAACUUCUAAGAUGUUUGUCCUUUCAUGUCCUUUCUGUUGGGAUUUUUUAUUUGGUGUGCGUGAAUGAGGAGCUUCGCCCUGCUUGAAUGGGACCCCUCUCAGUGGUGUCAGCUUGGGGAGGAGGAGAUGGCCCUGGAGACUAAAUACUUGUAUGCUUUCUUACCCUCUUAGGUCUCAGCCUUAGAUCCAAGGACAGUCCAAGGAAGUCCUAAGACCAUGGAGUUGGUGAUCUGGGAUCUGGGUUUGCUGAUAUUUCUCACCGUGAAUCUCUUGGUGGUGUUUGUGGGCACGAGAGGGGCAGAGAAUGGAGAGUGAGGCUACCACAUGAAGCGUCACCAGAGCUGCUCCCUGCUGCCUGCUCAGAGCACCCCGGAUCCACUGUUCAAUCUGCACAAGAUUCGGGGUCCAGACAUGGGAGACUUCAGCUGCCUCAGAGGACCGUGGACAGGGAAGGCCAGCCUCGCAUCCCUCUGUCCAUGCCUGGAAUGACUUUAAUAACCAAGAGUUUUAUUUUUGAAUUUGUAGCUGUCGUUCACUUUUUACCCACCCAUUCAAUAAACCUUACAGAAUUGC